CCGACCUUACUUGAACAGUAUCUGUUCUAUUGGUUGUACGUCUUUUUCCAUUGACACAAUGGAGACGCACAACAAUCUGGAAGAUGACAUAGCCACGUGGCUAGAGUGUGAAUAGGACCUCACCGGGCUUCAUUAGCCCAAGAUGAUCGCUCUCAGAACCAACGGCUGAUGAGAUGGCCAUGUCGUCUGACAGACC
rfam:Amborella trichopoda AMTR_V1.0_contig_14356, whole genome shotgun sequence.